rnacentral:tRNA from 4 species
GAGCCAUUAGCUCAGUUGGCAGAGCACUUGACUUUUAAUCAAGGUGUCCGGGGUUCGAAUCCCCGAUGGCUCACCA